GAUGAACGCUGGCGGCGUGCUUAACACAUGCAAGUCGAACGGUGAACGAGGGAGCUUGCUCCCUCCGGAUCAGUGGCGAACGGGUGAGUAACACGUGAGCAAUCUGCCCUGGACUCUGGGAUAAGCGUUGGAAACGACGUCUAAUACCGGAUACGAGGCGUGGGGGCAUCCCCAACGCCUGGAAAGAACUUCGGUCCAGGAUGAGCUCGCGGCCUAUCAGGUAGUUGGUGAGGUAACGGCUCACCAAGCCUACGAUGGGUAGCCGGCCUGAGAGGGUGACCGGCCACACUGGGACUGAGACACGGCCCAGACUCCUACGGGAGGCAGCAGUGGGGAAUAUUGCACAAUGGGCGCAAGCCUGAUGCAGCAACGCCGCGUGAGGGACGACGGCCUUCGGGUUGUAGACCUCUUUUAGCAGGGAAGAAGCGAAAGUGACGGUACCUGCAGAAAAAGCACCGGCUAACUACGUGCCAGCAGCCGCGGUAAAAC
rnacentral:rRNA from 1 species